rnacentral:rRNA from 1 species
GGUCUCCGUUGGAUAACCAGCGGAGGGAUCAUUA